UACGUAGGGGGCAAGCGUUGUCCGGAAUCAUUGGGCGUAAAGAGCGUGUAGGCGGCCCGAUAAGUCCGCUGUGAAAGUCAAGGGCUUAACCCUUGAAUGCCGGUGGAAACUGUCGGGCUAGGGACCGGUAGAGGCCGGUGGAAUUCCCGGUGUAGCGGUGGAAUGCGUAGAGAUCGGGAAGAACACCCGUGGCGAAGGCGGCCGGCUGGGCCGGAUCCGACGCUGAGGCGCGAAAGCGUGGGGAGCAAACAGG
rnacentral:rRNA from 1 species